AGGGCUUUGAAGUGGAAAGGGAGUGGGUGGUGGGGGGGUGUGUGGCUUUAGGGUCUCUGGCUUAGGAAGCUGAGUCUCCGUAGUGCCAUUCAUACAGAUGGAAUGAGGGAAGAAGCAGUUUCAUGGGAAAGUAGUAAAUUUGAUUGAGUAACAAGAGCUUGGGGGAUCCAGAAGAGAGCUAGGUUUGCAGUUCAGGAGUCCAGGAGAGAGUCAGACUGAAAACAUAAGCCCAUGGAUAGUCAGUCAUUGAAGCCAUGGGAAUGAAGAUCACCUAUGGGAAACACAGAUAGAAGCGAAUGUUACCACAAUGAAGUGUGGUCUAUACAAUUAAUUGCUGCAAAGAGGUCAGGGCACCACAAUCAAUCAUUCAUCAAAAAUAACAGGCAGCAAAGGACUGAGAAUAGAGUGAUCUGUGAUAUCUUCCCACUAAUCCCAAGUCAGGAGAGAGAGAGAAUGAAGAUCCAUUGCUGUAGAGGAACAAACUGAACGUGUUGAAGGUCCCGCAAGGCCAAUGUGGCUGGAAUGCAGACACAAAGCCAGGAGGAACAAGAGAUGGGGCUGACAAGAGAGGCAGGAGUCAGAUCUCAUGGGAACUGUCACCUGCAGUGUUGCAGACCUCUUUGAAUACACCAUGAGCACUGUGGAUUCUCGCCUCUGGAGAAUAAAAAUCACAUACAGAAAAGUUCAGACAACUUUAAGGAGUUUGAAGAAUCCCUGCUAGUCGUGGACCCAUCUGGGGUUGGUGGAUUCCUCACCAUGACUCUUUGGAUUCAGAAGUCAUAUAAGAUGCAGUUUAACAAAUAUUGGAAGUCAAAUGAGCAUUCUGCGGAAAAACAGCUUCUUCCAUACAUCAUCUUCUGGAAUAUCCCAGAUCUGGAAGAGGUCACAGGAAUGUCCAUUCAUAGGGAGCUCUACCUGGAGCUCAGAGAUGAUUGAGAGAGGGUAUUCAUCAUGGAUGUGUCCAAGUGAAGGUAGUUUGGAAAGAAACAAAGUUACCCUUUUUUCUCACUAAACAUCUUAGGGUCCCCAUUAGCAGGAAGGAAGGAAGAGGACAGGUGAGCUCCCUGGUAUUGAUGUAUUUACAGAGAACCUAGGCAUCAGCCAUACAUACAGAGGACACUCAUUUGGCCAGAAUUUGGGCUUUGACUUUAAUUAAAUUCCCUUGCUCCCAAUAAGACCUCUCUUAAUCUGAAAACAAUUUGUCAUAAGUGAUGUACCUGCCAAGACCUCAUGGCAAAGAGGCAGGGGGUACCUAGUAAAUGUUGCUGACAAACUCCAGCAUGACUCUAAAGGGACAGUGGCUUCCUUUGGAUGGUCAUGUGCUGCUGCUGGACAUAGCAAUCAGAAGGACAGUGGUGAACACCCAGGAGUGAACCAAGAUGCAAAGUUCAAGUCCGAGGGAAGAAGGGUGCAGUGCGGAAGAAGGGAAGGCAGAUGCUGCAGCCCUGCCUACAAGCAAGGAGGGAGCCAUUAAGAGCCCCAAGCUGGCCAGGCGCAGUGGCUUGCGCCUGUAUUCCUAAUCCCGGCACUUUGGGAAGCCAAGGUGGACGGAUCACCUGAGGUCAGGAGUUUGAGACCAGCUUGACCAACAUGGAGAAACUCUGUCUCUACUAAAAAUACAAAAUUAGCCAGGAGGCUGAGGCAGAAGAAUUGCUAGAAUCCGGGAGGUAGAGGUUGCAGUGAGCCGAGAUCGUGCCAUUGCACUCUAGCCUGGGCAACAAGAGCGAAACUCCAUCUCAAAAAAACAAAAAAGCCCCAAGCCUACUUUAUCAGACAGAGGAAUCAAGUUGUAUUUCCUUCUCACCAAGAGACGCUGGAAAGCUGUAAUCUUACACCAGUGGAGAAAGUGAGAGGAAAAUAAACCCUUUCUAAGGAUGAAUCCUGAAAGCCUUUCACAGACAAUGCUGCUUCUAUAAGAAUGACCUGUGAUGGCUAAGCCAUCACAGUCUUCAUUCCAAUUGACAUUCUAGGUAAACCUGCGCACAACUUUUUCUGUGUAUUUUCCAAAAAAGGAUCAUUUUAUAAAGGCUCAAGUUAUUUAC
rnacentral:lncRNA from 1 species